GUUAGCAGCCUCUGGUCUCUGGAGCAAAGUAGGUAAGGGAAGUCGGCAAAUUAGAUCCGUAACUUUGGGAAAAGGAUUGGCUCUGAGGGUUGGGUGUAGGGGUCCUUGUGCUGAUGUUUGAGCUGAGCAACAGCUACUUGACGCCUCUGGUGAAUAGUGGCUUGCUGCAUGGUGAGAACUGCUGGACAAGGAAUGUCUUCUGGGGCUGUCCUUGCGCAAUGAACAACUGACUCAGAACUGAAGCGGACAAGGGGAAUCCGACUGUUUAAUUAAAACAAAGCAUUGUGAUGGCCUGAAAAGGUUUUGAUGCAAUGUGAUUUCUGCCC
rnacentral:rRNA from 11 species